AUUGAACGCUGGCGGCAUGCCUUACACAUGCCAGUCGAACGGUAACAGGUCUUCGGAUGCUGACGAGUGGCGAACGGGUGAGUAAUACAUCGGAACGUGCCCGAUCGUGGGGGAUAACGGAGCGAAAGCUUUGCUAAUACCGCAUACGAUCUACGGAUGAAAGCAGGGGACCGCAAGGCCUUGCGCGGACGGAGCGGCCGAUGGCAGAUUAGGUAGUUGGUGGGAUAAAAGCUUACCAAGCCGACGAUCUGUAGCUGGUCUGAGAGGACGACCAGCCACACUGGGACUGAGACACGGCCCAGACUCCUACGGGAGGCAGCAGUGGGGAAUUUUGGACAAUGGGCGAAAGCCUGAUCCAGCCAUGCCGCGUGCAGGAUGAAGGCCUUCGGGUUGUAAACUGCUUUUGUACGGAACGAAAAGACUCUUUCUAAUAAAGAGGGUCCAUGACGGUACCGUAAGAAUAAGCACCGGCUAACUACGU
rnacentral:rRNA from 1 species